rnacentral:lncRNA from 1 species
AAGAAGAGAUUCAAGAAAGUUAGAGCUUUCAAGAGGAGAAAUCAAGUGCAUUCAAGCUUUCCCAUCUGAUUUCGAGCUCAUCUACUCACUCCCACUUGGCAAUCAAAGCUCGCAUUCAAGCCAACGUAAUCCACAUCAGAAGAACCACCAUCAUCCACGCUUCCAACGACAAAAAGGGUUCUUCCGAUUUUAUUGUUUCUCAUUGUUAUAUUUGCUUCUUAAGAGCUUUCAAAUCUUUUGUAAAACGUUUGAAUAUUGAGCUUGUUUCAGUCAAGGGACUUGGAACAAGGGAUAGGCGUCCCAAGCCUAAGUUAAAUUGGGGGUUUUAGGGUUCGUUGUUAGCCCGGGGUAAAACAACGAGUUGGGUAGUUCACUCGAAAAACUACCGGAUUGUAGGGUUUGUUGUGAGCCCGGUGUAAAACAACGAGUUGGGUAGUGCACUCGCAAAACUACCGGACUGUAAUCUGGAGGAUUAUAGUGAAAUUUCCAAAAG